rfam:Dipodomys ordii contig_58307, whole genome shotgun sequence.
GGUGACUCAGUGGUAGAGUACUUGCAUUGCAUGCAUGAGGUUCUGGGUUCGAUUCCUCAGCACCA